ensembl:lncRNA
CCACAACUUCCAAUAGGGGACCCGAAAAGGGGUCUGUCUGGGACCUAUAGGUUUCCCUUUUCAGGGGGGGUCCCCUAUAGGGGAUACGUGGAUUUGGAUCAAGUAGGGCCCCUUGUAGGAAUCGAGGGGCCCUAUAGGGGUCCUGUUAGGGAUUGAGGGCCUCUAUGGGGCCUCUAUGGGGUUCCUAUAGGAGAAUUAAGGCCACGGGGGGAUCCCUAUAGGGUCCCUAUAGCGGAAUGGAGCCCGGAGGGGGCACCUAUAGGGUUCCUAUGAGGGAACUGAGGCCACUGAGGAUCCCUAUAGGGUUCCUGUUUAGGAUUGAGAGCUCCUAUGGGGUUUCUAUGGAGUCCCUAUAGGAGAACAACGGCCGCUGGGUGUCCCCAUGGGGUUUCUAUAGGGCUUCUCGGGGUCUGAUGGCCCCUAUGGGGUCCCUACAGGGGACUGAAGGCCACUGGGGGUCCUUAUGGGGUUCCUAUAGAGUCCCUAUAGGAGAAGGGGGGUCAAUAAGGGCCCCUGUGGGGUUUCUAUAGGGUCACUAUAAGGGAAUAAAGGCCACUUUGGGCCCUUAUGGGGUUCCUAUGGGAGUCAGUGAGGGCCCUUAUGGGGUUUCUAUAGGGCCCCUAUAGGGGACUGAAGGCCACUGGGGGGUCCCUAUGGGGUUCCCAUAGGAGAAUGGGGGUCAGUGAGGGCCCCUAUGGGGUUUCUAUAGGGUCACUAUAAGGGAAUAAAGGCCACUGGGGGUCCUUAUGGGGUUCCCAUAGGAGAA